AGACAGCAUUGUACAGAAUUUAACUAUAUAAGUUCAACUUUCUGAUUAAUAUUGCACAACAAAUUCCGACAAAUAUAAACCACAGAGACCCUUCUGACAGCAUGAAGGCGAACAACGUCAUUCUCGUUUUCUUGGUUGCCUUUUUGUUUUCAACUGUUUCAUCCACCUGUCCAAGUCGUUGCUACACCGCCCUUUCUACGUGUAGCAACAACUGCUACAACACCUUAUCGAAUAUCAUCAACAACAUCGGUAAACGUGACGUCAAUGAUGCCAAACUGCGUCAAAGAAGAUCAAGUUGUUAUGACAUGUGUCAAGCCAUGUACAAAGCCUGCUGUGGAACAAACUAAAGGAACUGAAAUUUUGCCAUUAUUGUAGUGGUCUUUUGGUCAUUACAUUGUCUAAGAGCUAUUUUAAAGUUUUUAUUAAAACAUAAGUUUAUGUA